GACGAAGGUCCGGGUUCUCUCGGAUUGACGGUAGGUGGAGAAGAAGCACCGGCCAACUACGUGCCAGCCGCCGCGGUAAUACGUAGGGUGCGAGCGUUGUCCGGAAUUACUGGGCGUAAAGAGCUCGUAGGUGGUUUGUCGCGUUGUUCGUGAAAUCUCACGGCUUAACUGUGAGCGUGCGGGCGAUACGGGCAGACUAGAGUACUGCAGGGGAGACUGGAAUUCCUGGUGUAGCGGUGGAAUGCGCAGAUAUCAGGAGGAACACCGGUGGCGAAGGCGGGUCUCUGGGCAGUAACUGACGCUGAGGAGCGAAAGCGUGGGGAGCGAACAGGAUUAGAUACCCUGGUAGUCCACGCCGUAAACGGUGGGUACUAGGUGUGGGUUUCCUUCCUUGGGAUCCGUGCCGUAGCUAACGCAUUAAGUACCCCGCCUGGGGAGUACGGCCGCAAGGCUAAAACUCAAAGGAAUUGACGGGGGCCCGCACAAGCGGCGGAGCAUGUGGAUUAAUUCGAUGCAACGCGAAGAACCUUACCUGGGUUUGACAUGCACAGGACGCGUCUAGAGAUAGGCGUUCCCUUGUGGCCUGUGUGCAGGUGGUGCAUGGCUGU
rnacentral:rRNA from 1 species